CACAACCGACGUGGGACAACUCUUAACAGCAUGAUACAGGUAACAUUUUAUUGAUCUUUUGCCUCUGCAGUCACGAUACCAGAAUUCAAAUAUUCUUCAGGUCUCAAUAAUGUUGUUCCGAAAUGGGCUAUAAAUCCCAACACUGAUAAAAUAUGCUGCAGCUCAUAACAUAAUCAGCUGGCAUGUUCCUCAACCCCCGCCAAGGCGCCAUUAAAAGAAGAACAGACUGCAAAUGAAAUUAUUCUGUUUGAUAUCGCGACUUAAUUUGGAUUUAGCUUCUGUCGUGCGCUAUAUAAACUCCUUACUAAAGACGUAGCAGAGCAAACUUUUCAAGAAAGCAAUACGAAGCCAAAGAAUAGCCUUAAGAAAACAAUGGAAAGCAGGAUGAGGAAAGCAGCAAGUGCAAAGAGUUCAACAAGUAGCAGAGGGCCCUUACCGAGAAGGGGCCAGAUAAAGUCCUUGAUAGCGUCAAAUGCUCUUCAUUCUAUUGUUUCCGUUCUCUUAAGAGCCUCGUCGGAUCACCAUCACACCACUAGAAAACUGUAUUCUUGAGAGACUGAUCUGUAUACAUGCAUAAUGAAAGUUGUUAUCUCGGUUUAGCACAAAGAAAAUGAUGAGUUAGUUAUUUCUGUUUCGACUUGUUAUUUUUGUACUCGGAAUUUUGAAAUCCACAAAGAACAGGAUGCUGAAUCGAAAAACACCACUAGAAAACUAUAUUCUUGAGAGACUGAUCUGUAUACAUGCAUAAUGAAAGUUGUUAUCUCCGUUUAGCACAAAGAAAAUGAUGAGUUAGUUAUUUCUGUUUCGACUUGUUAUUUCUGUA
rnacentral:lncRNA from 1 species